UCGGGACGUUGCGACGUCUCGAUAAAGCGUCCUCUGGCAGUUGCGGCGUUAAGCUUUCAACCGAACAUUAUCGGAAAAGUUUGAAGAACUUUUUUGGCUUUCCCGAAGCUAUUUAUUUCGUUUUGUUCGGAAAUUUUCGCUUUUUUCUAGUUGGAGAUUUCCAGUAAACUUUUUUGGCAGAGUUGAAAAGUUACGACGAAAGUUGGAUAUUUCCAGUAAACUUUUUUGGCAGUGUUGAAAAGAUACCACCAAAGGUCCUGAAUUAUUUUAACAAAGUCCAGCUACGUUUUGCACGAAUCCUGGUUUACUGGUCACACCCUGGGGGCUAUUGACAUAGACCAGCUGCUUUUGCGACAGCACCCUAGAACCACUGGGGUUACAGGCCAGCCUCCAACAUUACCGCCCAGCGACUUCACAGGUUAUGUGCACGCCGGUAUAUC